rnacentral:rRNA from 1 species
UACGUAGGGGGCAAGCGUUGUCCGGAAUCAUUGGGCGUAAAGCGCGUGUAGGCGGCCCGAUAAGUCCGCUGUGAAAGUCCAGGGCUCAACCCUGGAAUGCCGGUGGAUACUGUCGGGCUCGAGUCCGGAAGAGGCGAGUGGAAGUUCCUGGUGUAGCGGUGAAAUGCGCAGAUAUCAGGAGGAACACCAAUGGCGAAGGCAGCUCGCUGGGACGGUACUGACGCUGAGACGCGAAAGCGUGGGGAGCAAACAGG